UGGGGAAUAUUGCACAAUGGGCGCAAGCCUGAUGCAGCCAUGCCGCGUGUGUGAAGAAGGCCUUCGGGUUGUAAAGCACUUUCAGCGAGGAGGAAGGUGGUGAGCUUAAUACGCUCAUCAAUUGACGUUACUCGCAGAAGAAGCACCGGCUAACUCCGUGCCAGCAGCCGCGGUAAUACGGAGGGUGCAAGCGUUAAUCGGAAUUACUGGGCGUAAAGCGCACGCAGGCGGUUUGUUAAGUCAGAUGUGAAAUCCCCGGGCUCAACCUGGGAACUGCAUUUGAAACUGGCAAGCUAGAGUCUCGUAGAGGGGGGUAGAAUUCCAGGUGUAGCGGUGAAAUGCGUAGAGAUCUGGAGGAAUACCGGUGGCGAAGGCGGCCCCCCUGGACGAAGACUGACGCUCAGGUGCGAAAGCGUGGGGCAGCAAACAGGAUUAGAUACCCUGGUAGUCCACGCUGUAAACGAUGUCGAUUUGGAGGUUGUGCCCCUUGAGGCGUGGNUUCCGGAGCUAACG
rnacentral:rRNA from 1 species